GACGUAGGACGCGGGCGUGUCCGGAUUUAUUGGGCGUAAAGAGCUCGUAGGCGGUCUGUCGCGUCGGCUGUGAAAACCCGGAGCUCAACUCCGGGCCUGCAGUCGAUACGGGCAAACUGGAGUGUUGCAGGGGAGACUGGAAUUCCUGGUGUAGCGGUGAAAUGCGCAGAUAUCAGGAGGAACACCGGUGGCGAAGGCGGGUCUCUGGGCCGAUACUGACGCUGAGGAGCGAAAGCGUGGGGAGCGAACAGG
rnacentral:rRNA from 1 species